UCCUCGUCCUCUCUUCUCUCUCCCUCCGUAUACGACGAAGCAGCACCUCUCUCUCUCACUGGAAUCUCGCCGCCCCCUCUCCGUUUCUUCCGUCCCUCCGCUUCCGGUGUCCCUCAUCGCCGCCGCCGCAAGACUCCAUCCCCGAUCGGACGCCAUCGCGGCAACCGCAAUCCCCUCAGGCGAUGCCACUGCGUGGUGACGCCGCCAUGCCGCUAGUGGAGGAGCAGUGGCCCGCCAGCCGGGUGCGGAACACUUUCAUCAAGUUCGUCGAGGGAACAGGCACGUCAACUGGCCGUCGAGCCCGGUCGUCCCCGAAAAUGGUGUUUUGCCAGAUAAUUUCACGGUCCCGAAUUCGUUGAAGGCUUGUGGGACUUUGAUGUGGAUUGGGUUUGAUAAAGGGGUUCGUGGAUUUGUGAAGAAGAUGGGUCUUGGUGGAUGUGUUUUUGUGGCAAGUAGUCUCAUUGAUUUUUACGGAAA